UUUAGUAUAAAUAAUUCAUAAUCUAGUAAAUAAGUUAUUGCAGUUGUUUGCCUUGCAAAAACAUGAGAAAAUUCAAUCACAAUCAAACAACUUCUCCCAAUUUGAUCCAACACAAUACAUAACUAUGGAAUAUGUGGUGUCUAUAUCCAUGAUCAAUUUCACUUCAUCCAUGGAGUCAGUAUCAUACACUAGAAUACCCAGAAUUUCCACUAGCAAAAUGUCACAAACAUCGUCAACCCUUGGAACAUCUUAUGAGACAACCCAGAGUCAAUAAUUGAUGUGUUAUUCAAACAACUACCAUUCAUGUUUAUUUUAACAAAGCCACCAUGGAGGAUGUUCCCAACGAUCGACUAGAAUAACAGACAAAGUAUGGUUACCUUCCAUAUUUGGGCCGUAAUAGAUGAUUCAACAAUAUUCCUGCCAUUAGGUUGAGUUGAAUCAUAAACUAUAGAUCUCUUAUUUAACAACAAUCAAUAUUUUUCACCCUGCUCAAUUUUAAUUAUUAUUUUUGUUGAUGUGAUGUAUCGUUAAUUAAUGAUGUGCGCCAUUGAGUUUGAGUUUUUUAUUUUAUUUUUUUACGAAAAUGUAUCUUUAUAACUAUGAUGAUUAUGCCACAUCAUUAAUAUUGAUGUUAAAAAAAGGAAAAUGCUAACUGAAAGACGGACACUUAUCCACAUUUUCUCCAAGUAUCCAACAAAAUAUAUCACAGCUUAAAAGUUGUUAUAUUUAACCAGAACCUUUUUUGAGCAAAUAUUUAACCAGAACCUAAAUGAUAGGAUCUUACGUAUCCAACAAAAACCUUGAGAAACAUCCACCUAUAACUUAACAUAACAUAUCCUCAAUCCUCAACAAAAAUCUAUUUAUAGAGGAUCACACCUGUUUCGCUUGUAGAUGUUACUGGACUUGGCAAUCUUCUCUACUAUUUAUUCUUGAUUCUUUACCUCUCUAUUCUACACUCUUUCUUUUCCUCUUGAUUUUUUUUUCACUUCAUUUUCAACUUUCUUGGUCUUGUUUUCGGUCUAGUUAGGAUUACAAAAAUGGACACCAUUGUAGGAAACCCUUUGCAUCUAAAAUCGGUGAAUCAUAUCUCCCUUGUAACACCCUUACUAGACAUUACCUAGGAUAUCUAGCGUGUGUGUUAAACUUGGUAUUGGAUACAUUAAAAUUACAAUAAUAAAAAUUCCCGCAGAAUAAAAUAUAAAAUUCUCGUCUUAUACCUUUGAAAUAAUACCACUGACGUGAAUUUUAUAUAGUCCGGCAACUGCUUCUUCAUCACGAACCUUUAUGUCGUCUAGUAACCUCUGAAUAUCUUAAAUAAAUAAAAAUAAUUGGGGUGAGACAUGAUGUCUCAGUGAGUUCCACCUAUCUUAAGGUGUAGGCAAUCUCAGGGACCCUAAGAUCGUCAUAUGUUCUAAACUCAACCCAUUUCGGGUUUAUAUAGUCUUUAUCAUACAUAAUUGUGCGAUCGGGGAUAACUAGGAUCGCUACCUAGAAUACUAUCAUGAUACUAUUAUAAUGUCAUAUUCUUAUUCAUACACAUUCUCAUAAUCAUAAUAAUAAUUUUUGACUUAAAUUCAUGUCAUUAAUUAUACAUUUCUUGUCUUAAAGUUUUUCGUUGUGGCUAACGGUAACUAUUUCUUUUUUUUUUUUUUUUUUUUUUUACUAUGUGCCAUACCUCAUAGGCUGCGUUAUCUUUUUGUUGCAGCAAAUAGUGUUUUCGCAUUUGUUACUAUGAGUCGUACCUCAUAGGCUACAUUAUCUCUUCGCUGUAGCAAACGGAGAUUUCGCAUUCGUUACUAUGAGCCGUACCUCAUAAGCUACAUUAUCUCUUCGUUGUAGCAAACGGAGAUUUCGCAUUCGUUAUUAUGAGUCGUACCUCAUAGGCUACAUUAUCUCUUCAUUAUAACAAACGAAGAUUUUCUCAAUUUUUUUCUUUCUAUGAGCAUGUUACUCAUUUCAAAUUUUCUACUCAUUUCAAUUUUCUUUCAAAUCAUUAGUAUGAUUAUAUACAUCAAUUGCGUUGAUAGAAUUUGUCUCCCACAUUUAUACUAGCAUAAACAUACUUAUUAACAUAAAUGAGAUUUUUAGAAUAAACAAUUAAGGAUACCUAAUUCAGAAAUAAUCAUUCUACUAUCUCAUAUUUAUUCUGUUUCAAAUGUACCAUUCAUAUGGCAUGAUAGUCAUGCUUGCACAAUCGGCAAGUAAUCAUAAAGAGGAUCUAAUUAUUCAUGUUAUCUCAAUAAUCUAAUAUAAUCAUAAUUGAUCCCCAAAGGUGGGUUCUAAGCUAAAGGAACUCACCUUUAAUCCUUUAAAAUAACAUAGGCUCGUCUCACUUUUGCAUUUCAAACCUCAACCAACUUCACGCUCAACCAUGAGGGCUUCCGUAAUUAACCUUGAAUGAUGAUUCCUAAGCUCCUCAAGCAUCAAAACAAGUCAUUACCAUAAUCACCCACAACCUAGUAGCUAUCCAUCAUGGGUAUUCCAAAAACAAGUUUACUUGAUGAUUUCCAUGGAAUUGGAGGAAAGAUUAUGAACUUGGAAAAUGAGAGAAAGAGGGGCGGUUGAGCAAUUGGAGGGAGGAGAAGUGAUUAUUAAACUAGUUUCUUGGUUAAAACUCUACUAGGAACCUAUUAAAGCAUGUACCAUGAUGAUUCCAUGAUGAAUUGUGAAUUUGAU
rnacentral:lncRNA from 1 species